rnacentral:rRNA from 1 species
AUUGAACGCUGGCGGCAGGCUUAACACAUGCAAGUCGAACGAUGAAACCUAGCCUGCUAGGUGGAUUAGUGGCGGACGGGUGAGUACAACUUAGGAAUCUACCUAUUAGCGGGGGAUAGCUCGGGGAAACUCGAAUUAAUACCGCAUACUCCUUACGAGGGAAAGGGGCCUGACCACUAAAUUUAAUUUAUAGUGUAUUUUAUUUACAAUAAUAUAAUUAAGUUAAAUUUAGUGGUCAGGUCUCACUAAUAGAUGAGCCUAAGCAAGAUUAGCUAGUUGGUGGGGUAAAAGCCUACCAAGGCGACGAUCUUUAGCUGGUCUGAGAGGAUGAUCAGCCACACUGGGACUGAGACACGGCCCAGACUCCUACGGGAGGCAGCAGUGGGGAAUAUUGGACAAUGGGGGAAACCCUGAUCCAGCCAUGCCGCGUGUGUGAAGAAGGCCUUUUGGUUGUAAAGCACUUUAAGCAGUGAGGAAAAGCUAGAUGUUAAUACCAUCUAGCCCUGACGUUAACUGCAGAAUAAGCACCGGCUAACUCUGUGCCAGCAGCCGCGGUAAUACAGAGGGUGCAAGCGUUAAUCGGAAUUACUGGGCGUAAAGAGAACGUAGGUGGUCAAUUAAGUCAAAUGUGAAAUCCCUGAGCUCAACUUAGGAACUGCAUUUGAUACUGGUUGACUAGAGUAGGUGAGAGGAGAGUAGAAUUCCAGGUGUAGCGGUGAAAUGCGUAGAUAUCUGGAGGAAUACCGAUGGCGAAGCAGCUCUCUGGCAUCAUACUGACACUGAGGUUCGAAAGCGUGGGUAGUAAACGGG